rnacentral:rRNA from 2 species
GGGCGCACGGUGGAUGCCUUGACACUAGGAGUCGAUGAAGGACGGGACUAACGCCGAUAUGCUUCGGGGAGCUGUAAGUAAGCUUUGAUCCGAAGAUUUCCGAAUGGGGAAACCCACCAUACGUAAUGGUAUGGUAUCCUUAUCUGAAUACAUAGGGUAAGGAAGACAGACCCAGGGAACUGAAACAUCUAAGUACCUGGAGGAAGAGAAAGCAAAUGCGAUUUCCUGAGUAGCGGCGAGCGAAACGGAACAUAGCCCAAACCAAGAGGCUUGCCUCUUGGGGUUGUAGGACAUUCUAUACGGAGUUACAAAGGAACGAGGUAGACGAAGCGACCUGGAAAGGUCCGUCGUAGAGGGUAACAACCCCGUAGUCGAAACUUCGUUCUCUCUUGAAUGUAUCCUGAGUACGGCGGAACACGUGAAAUUCCGUCGGAAUCUGGGAGGACCAUCUCCCAAGGCUAAAUACUCCCUAGUGAUCGAUAGUGAACCAGUACCGUGAGGGAAAGGUGAAAAGCACCCCGGAAGGGGAGUGAAAGAGAUCCUGAAACCGUGUGCCUACAAAUAGUCAGAGCCCGUUAACGGGUGAUGGCGUGCCUUUUGUAGAAUGAACCGGCGAGUUACGAUCCCGUGCGAGGUUAAGCUGAAGAGGCGGAGCCGCAGCGAAAGCGAGUCUGAAUAGGGCGUUUAGUACGUGGUCGUAGACCCGAAACCAGGUGAUCUACCCAUGUCCAGGGUGAAGUUCAGGUAACACUGAAUGGAGGCCCGAACCCACGCACGUUGAAAAGUGCGGGGAUGAGGUGUGGGUAGCGGAGAAAUUCCAAUCGAACCUGGAGAUAGCUGGUUCUCCCCGAAAUAGCUUUAGGGCUAGCCUUAAGUGUAAGAGUCUUGGAGGUAGAGCACUGAUUGGACUAGGGGUCCUCAUCGGAUUACCGAAUUCAGUCAAACUCCGAAUGCCAAUGACUUAUCCUUAGGAGUCAGACUGCGAGUGAUAAGAUCCGUAGUCAAAAGGGAAACAGCCCAGACCGCCAGCUAAGGUCCCAAAGUGUGUAUUAAGUGGAAAAGGAUGUGGAGUUGCUUAGACAACUAGGAUGUUGGCUUAGAAGCAGCCACCAUUUAAAGAGUGCGUAAUAGCUCACUAGUCGAGUGACUCUGCGCCGAAAAUGUACCGGGGCUAAAUACACCACCGAAGCUGCGGAUUGAUACCAAUGGUAUCAGUGGUAGGGGAGCGUUCUAAGGACAGUGAAGUCAGACCGGAAGGACUGGUGGAGUGCUUAGAAGUGAGAAUGCCGGUAUGAGUAGCGAAAGACGGGUGAGAAUCCCGUCCACCGAAUGCCUAAGGUUUCCUGAGGAAGGCUCGUCCGCUCAGGGUUAGUCAGGACCUAAGCCGAGGCCGACAGGCGUAGGCGAUGGACAACAGGUUGAUAUUCCUGUACCACCUCUUUAUCGUUUGAGCAAUGGAGGGACGCAGAAGGAUAGAAGAAGCGUGCGAUUGGUUGUGCACGUCCAAGCAGUUAGGCUGAUAAGUAGGCAAAUCCGCUUAUCGUAAAGGCUGAGCUGUGAUGGGGAAGCUCCUUAUGGAGCGAAGUCUUUGAUUCCCCGCUGCCAAGAAAAGCUUCUAGCGAGAUAAAAGGUGCCUGUACCGCAAACCGACACAGGUAGGCGAGGAGAGAAUCCUAAGGUGUGCGAGAGAACUCUGGUUAAGGAACUCGGCAAAAUGACCCCGUAACUUCGGGAGAAGGGGUGCUUUCUUAACGGAAAGCCGCAGUGAAUAGGCCCAAGCGACUGUUUAGCAAAAACACAGCUCUCUGCGAAGCCGUAAGGCGAAGUAUAGGGGGUGACACCUGCCCGGUGCUGGAAGGUUAAGGAGAGGGGUUAGCGUAAGCGAAGCUCUGAACUGAAGCCCCAGUAAACGGCGGCCGUAACUAUAACGGUCCUAAGGUAGCGAAAUUCCUUGUCGGGUAAGUUCCGACCCGCACGAAAGGUGUAACGAUUUGGGCACUGUCUCAACCAGAGACUCGGUGAAAUUAUAGUACCUGUGAAGAUGCAGGUUACCCGCGACAGGACGGAAAGACCCCGUGGAGCUUUACUGUAGCCUGAUAUUGAAUUUUGGUACAGUUUGUACAGGAUAGGCGGGAGCCUUUGAAACCGGAGCGCUAGCUUCGGUGGAGGCGCUGGUGGGAUACCGCCCUGACUGUAUUGAAAUUCUAACCUACGGGUCUUAUCGACCCGGGAGACAGUGUCAGGUGGGCAGUUUGACUGGGGCGGUCGCCUCCUAAAGUGUAACGGAGGCGCCCAAAGGUUCCCUCAGAAUGGUUGGAAAUCAUUCGUAGAGUGCAAAGGCAUAAGGGAGCUUGACUGCGAGACCUACAAGUCGAGCAGGGACGAAAGUCGGGCUUAGUGAUCCGGUGGUUCCGCAUGGAAGGGCCAUCGCUCAACGGAUAAAAGCUACCCCGGGGAUAACAGGCUUAUCUCCCCCAAGAGUCCACAUCGACGGGGAGGUUUGGCACCUCGAUGUCGGCUCAUCGCAUCCUGGGGCUGUAGUCGGUCCCAAGGGUUGGGCUGUUCGCCCAUUAAAGCGGUACGCGAGCUGGGUUCAGAACGUCGUGAGACAGUUCGGUCCCUAUCCGUCGUGGGCGUAGGAAAUUUGAGAGGAGCUGUCCUUAGUACGAGAGGACCGGGAUGGACGCACCGCUGGUGUACCAGUUGUUCUGCCAAGGGCAUAGCUGGGUAGCUAUGUGCGGAAGGGAUAAGUGCUGAAAGCAUCUAAGCAUGAAGCCCCCCUCAAGAUGAGAUUUCCCAUAGCGUAAGCUAGUAAGAUCCCUGAAAGAUGAUCAGGUUGAUAGGUUCGAGGUGGAAGCAUGGUGACAUGUGGAGCUGACGAAUACUAAUAGAUCGAGGACUUAACCAUAUA